ensembl:lncRNA
CUGGGGGUUUUGCUGUAGUCAUGCACCCUCUAGGAAGGACGCCAUGCUGGAUUUCUCCACUUUCAUUGCAGUAAAUCUGGACAUGACAUUGCUGUAACAAAGCAGGCAGCUGGGUCUGCAUGGCUGUCACCCCCUCACAAGCCAAGGUCAUUUGAAAAGUCUCCUGUGACAGAUGGGCAAAAGCAUUUCUUCCUGCUUCAAAGGCACAGGAUGCUGCUUUGGAGCCAGUUUUUCUUCUGCAGGUCUUCUUGUCAGUGAGCAGGAAGGAAAAUCUGCAAACAAAGGCAACUUCAGUGAUCUUGGAACAUGAAGAAUAAUGUCCUUCAUUGCUGCCAUGCAGGGCUCAGUGCAAAGAGCUGAACGGCACUGAUUCCUACAGUCAAGGACGUAUGGCCCUCUUGUUCCUUUGCAAGAUAAGCCAUUCCCAACUGGAUAUUAACUCUUCCUGGAAAUGCAGCGUCAAAAACAAUGGCAAUACACUAUCAAGAUCCAGCACUUCCCUUAAGAAACUGUGAAGCACCAAGGAGAGCUUUGUUGCAGAAGAAACAACGCAGACAUAUAAUGCAACAAGACAUGAACAUUGACGGGAACAGCCCAUGGCUUCGAUGUUAGUUGCAGAUGCACAGAGAUAGUGCUGAGGCCACCUCAGAGGGUCCUGCAUAGAAACGCUGCAACAGCUCUGCACGACAGUUGUUCUGAUGCCUGGAGUCUCAUCACAGAAGCAAUAGGCUGUGUGCUGCAGUGAAGAGACAAAGCCAUUUCUGCUCAUUCGCUGCCAGUGGUACGUCCAAGACACAAGGAGCUGUAAAGAGCACAGGAAUAAAGAGCAGGAAUGGAUGCCAAGAGGAAGGAAAGUAGGCGGCACAGAAGAUGGGAAACAAAGCAAAAAACGUCUGGGCAACAUGGUACUAGAUCUUAAAUGCUGCUCAGUAGGUCUGAAUGGGAUCCUUUUGGGACACCAUCAUAUAAUCCAUGGGUUUGUAAAUGGAAGCCAUGGGCAAUUUAGGAGACAGCAUGAAGAGAGCUGCGUAUCUUAUCUGUAGACAGCUCCCGUGCUUAAUCCAAAGACUGAAAUAGGUAAAUAUUAGAUAUCUGGCCCAACAAAGUGACACAGUAGAGUGAGGUGAAUCUCUUGUUGGGUGAUUUUUUCUUUUUUCCUUUAGCAGCUUAGAUUAGUCAAAUAUUCAAGAUUUUCAAGCUUUAAAGAAAAAAAAAAUCCUUAAAAGACCUUCUUUUCUUUCUUUUUUUCUUUUUUUCUCUUUGUUUUUUUAACAGUGAGCUUGGCACAGCUGUUUGUCUUUGCUGUCUGGCACUUUCAGCAAGAAGUAAACUGUAUAAUAAAGUAAAUUUUGUUGAGACA